CCUACGGGUGGCAGCAGUGAGGAAUAUUGGUCAAUGGGCGCAAGCCUGAACCAGCGAUGCCGCGUGCAGGAUGACUGCCCUACGAGUUGUAAACUGCUUUUGUAAGGGGGUAAAUCCAGAUACGUGUACCUGUUUGAAAGUACAUUACGAAUAAGGAUCGGCUAACUCCGUGACAGCAGCCGCGGUAAUACGGAGGAUUCAAGCGUUAUCCGGAUUUAUUGGGUUUAAAGGGGGCGUAGGCGGUUCGGUAAGUUAGAGGUGAAAUGCCGGGGCUCAACUCGGGCACUGCAUGUGAUACUGUCAGGCUAGAGUUCAGUUGCGGUAGGCGGAAUGCAUGGUGUAGCGGUGAAAUGCAUAGAGAUCACACAGAACACCGAUUGCGAAGGCAGCUUACCAAACUACCACUGACGUUGAGGCACGAAAGCGUGGGGAGCAAACAGGAUUAGAUACCCGAGUAGUC
rnacentral:rRNA from 1 species